rnacentral:lncRNA from 1 species
CGUCUUCCACUAUUGUGAUGGGCGUUGCUGCCCUGGCCUUCUGCACCUGGUGAGGAGUCGAUGCGGCAAGCCUGCUUGAGUUGUCGGCCGCGUUCCUCCAGCUAUUAUCCCCUGCACCUUCAUAUCAGCAGCCUUGCCCUCUCGUUGGACGUCCUCUUUGCUUACCAGUCUUUCUCAGCCGAAAGCGCGCGCCGACAGCUGGCUGACUUGGCACCCUUUUCUCCGCCUCCCUGCCUUUGCGGUCACAGGGCCGUCUCGCUGGCCGGCCUCGCUUCCGUCCAGGAGCAGUGCACCCCUGACUGGAGCGACAUGAUUGGUGUGCGCGUGAACGGCUUCUCCACGUGAGUUAUCUCCUGCCUAGACCUGACAAGCCAUCAGCUGUGAACUUGGCCUUGUGUUUUUCGCCUGUUUGCGCUGGCCCUGUAUAGUUGCCGUUCACCAGUACCCUCUUCCCUCCACUCACCAUCGCUCCCUCUGCUGCAUGUGUACUCCUUACAGUGGCCUGGCCUGCUACACCUUCUUCCGCUACUAUUGGUUCAUCGUGAGCCUUGAGUUCGCCCUGAUUGUCGGCGUUGCCGGCGUCCUGGCCACCGGCGCCUACGCCAAGUUCCGCAACUCCUUCCUGGGCCUGAUCUGCGUGGUAAGUCCUGGCAGAUCCUGAGCUACUCCUGAUAACUAAUACAGCGCACAAUCAUCGAGAUUCCCAGUACAAUUCCAACCCAAAUUCCUGACCGCUUUUGCGUCCUCCUUUCCCCCUUUCCUCCCUCCAGGCCACCCUGCUGUACAUCCAGAUGUCCGACGCCACCCUGACCCUGGACUCCCUGACCGCUGAGUCCGGUGGCCAGCUCAAGAACCGCGUGCGCACCUGGAUCGCCGGCUCCAUCAUGACCGCCGCCGUCAACUGCUUCCUGAUCAUCGCCCUGGGCAUGACCGAGGCCCAGGUGGAGGCUAUCUCCGGCGAGAAGGCCACCGCUGUUUAAUGCGCCUGGUGCGUAGUGUUACGCGAGUGUGAGCAGCUGACCUGAUGAGCGUGACCCACUUUGCCGCUGCCAUUGUGCGGUGGCCUGACCUGACUGAGUGACAUCUAAAUUUGGGCUGUUUCUUAUUGCGCAUCCGCGAAUGACCUCUCGGACCAACUGACGGAAAAUAACGAGCGUGGUGGACAUCCUCCUGCGACACGAGCGUUGCGUGGCCACUUAACGUAGCGUGCGUGUCGAAGACGUUUAUACCCGGGGCUGAUGGAGGUCAUGCGGUGGCCCCAGGGCGGGAAGUACAUACGUGCUAGAUUGCUAUGUGCUAGCAAUUCAUGCUGAAUAAAUGAGGGAUUGAGGCGGUGGGCUGGCUAGUGGCCACACUACAGGAGUGUGCGCGCACGAGACGCGGCAAGCGGCAA